UCGGGAAUAUUGCGCAAUGGAGGAAACUCUGACGCAGUGACGCCGCGUAUAGGAAGAAGGUUUUCGGAUUGUAAACUAUUGUCGUUAGGGAAGAAAAAAGACAGUACCUAAGGAGGAAGCUCCGGCUAACUACGUGCCAGCAGCCGCGGUAAUACGUAGAGAGCGAGCGUUAUCCGGAUUUAUUGGGUGUAAAGGGUGCGUAGACGGGUUAGCAAGUUAGUUGUGAAAUCCCUCGGCUUAACUGAGGAACUGCAGCUAAAACUACUAAUCUUGAGUGCAGGAGAGGUAAGUGGAAUUCCUAGUGUAGCGGUGAAAUGCGUAGAUAUUAGGAGGAACACCAGUGGCGAAGGCGACUUACUGGACUGUAACUGACGUUGAGGCACGAAAGUGUGGGGAGCAAACAGG
rnacentral:rRNA from 2 species